GGCCAGACUCCUACGGGAGGCAGCAGUGGGGAAUAUUGCACAAUGGGGGGAACCCUGAUGCAGCGACGCCGCGUGAGUGAAGAAGUAUUUCGGUAUGUAAAGCUCUAUCAGCAGGGAAGAAAAUGACGGUACCUGACUAAGAAGCCCCGGCUAACUACGUGCCAGCAGCCACGGUAAUACGUAGGGGGCAAGCGUUAUCCGGAUUUACUGGGUGUAAAGGGAGCGUAGACGGCAGAGCAAGUCUGAAGUGAAAGCCCGCGGCCCAACUGCGGGACUGCUUUGGAAACUGCCCGGCUAGAGUGCUGGAGAGGUAAGCGGAAUUCCUGGUGUAGCGGUGAAAUGCGCAGAUAUCAGGAGGAACACCGGUGGCGAAGGCGGCCUGCUGGGCGGUAACUGCCGCUGAGGCUCGAAAGCGUGGGGAGCGAACAGGAUUAGAUACCCCAGUAU
rnacentral:rRNA from 1 species